rnacentral:rRNA from 1 species
GAUGAACGCUAGCGAUAGGCCUAACACAUGCAAGUCGAGGGGCAUCACAUGAAGUAGCAAUACGGAUGGUGGCGACCGGCGCACGGGUGAGUAACACGUAUGCAACCUGCCUUCAACAAGGGGAUAACCCGUUGAAAGACGGACUAAUACCCUAUAACACAGGGGUCCCGCAUGGGAAUAUUUGUUAAAGGACAACCGGUUGAAGAUGGGCAUGCGUUCCAUUAGCUAGUUGGCGGGGUAACGGCCCACCAAGGCAACGAUGGAUAGGGGAACUGAGAGGUUUAUCCCCCACACUGGUACUGAGACACGGACCAGACUCCUACGGGAGGCAGCAGUGAGGAAUAUUGGUCAAUGGACGCAAGUCUGAACCAGCCACGUCGCGUGAAGGAAGACGGCCCUACGGGUUGUAAACUUCUUUUAUACGGGAAUAAAGUGCCCCACGCGUGGGGUUUUGCAUGUACCGUAUGAAUAAGGAUCGGCUAACUCCGUGCCAGCAGCCGCGGUAAUUACUGACUCA